GACGAACCGAGCGAACGUUGUUCGGAAUCACUGGGCGUAAAGCGUGCGCAGGCGGUCUGUUAAGACCGAUGUGAAAUCCCCGGGCUUAACCUGGGAACUGCAUUGGUGACUGGCAGGCUUUGAGUGUGGCAGAGGGAGGUAGAAUUCCACGUGUAGCAGUGAAAUGCGUAGAGAUGUGGAGGAAUACCGAUGGCGAAGGCAGCCUCCUGGGCCAACACUGACGCUCAUGCACGAAAGCGUGGGGAGCAAACAGG
rnacentral:rRNA from 1 species